rnacentral:rRNA from 1 species
AGAGUUUGAUCCUGGCUCAGGAUGAACGCUGGCGGCGUGCCUAACACAUGCAAGUCGAACGGGGGAGCAUGACGAAAACACCGCUUGCGUUUUCCGAAUCAUGUUUUCCAGUGGCGGACAGGUGAGUAACGCGUGGGCGACCUGCCCUGUGCGGAGGGGAUACCGUCUGGAAACCUAUGCUAAUACCGCAUAGCCGCGUCAGCGCGCCUGGGCAGAUGCGGAAAGGGAGCGAUCCCGGGACCCGAUGGACCCGCGUCUGAUUGGCCAGUUGGCAGGGUAACGGACUGCCAAAGCGACGAUUACUAGCCGGCCUGAGAGGGUGGACGGCCACAUUGGGACUGAGACACGGCCCAGACUCCUACGGGAGGCAGCAGUGGGGAAUAUUGCACAAUGGGGGAAACCCUGAUGCAGCGACGCCGCGUGAGUGAAGAAGUAUUUCCGGUAUGUAAAGCUCUGUCAGCAGGGAAGAAGAAAGACGGUACCUGACCAAGAAGCCCCGGCUAACUACGUGCCAGCAGCCGCGGUAAUACGUAGGGGGCAAGCGUUAUCCGGAAUCACUGGGUGUAAAGGGAGCGUAGACGGCUGUGCAAGCUUGGAGUGAAAGGCGGGGGCCCAACCCCCGGACUGCUAUGGGAACUGCAAAGCUGGAGUGCAGGAGAGGUAAGUGGAAUUCCUGGUGUAGCGGUGAAAUGCGUAGAUAUCAGGAGGAACACCAGUGGCGAAGGCGGCUUACUGGACUGUAACUGACGUUGAGGCUUGAAAGCGUGGGGAGCAAACAGGAUUAGAUACCCUGGUAGUUCCCCCCGUAAACGAUGAUCUCCAGGUGUGGGGGGGGCAGGGCCCUUUGUGUGCGGAGGAAUAGCCAUAAAGUGUUUCCCCCGGGGGGGUGGGUCCGAAGGAGACGAAAGUAUAAAGAAAUGGGGGGGGUCCCGGCACAACCGAUGGAGCUUUUGUUUUAUUUGGAGGCAACAAGAAGAACUUACCCGUCCUUUUACAUCCGCCGGGCGGCAUAUGUAAUGUUUUUUCCUUUGGGGUCAGGGGAGCCAGGUGCUGCAGGGUUGUCUUCAGGCUGGUGUGUUGAGAUGUUGGGUUAAGUCCCCCAACGAGCGCAACCCUUUCCCCCAGUAGCCGGCAGGGAAGAUGGGUACUCUGUGGGGACUGCCGGGGACAACCCGGAGGAAGGCGGGGAUGACGUCAAAUCAUCAUGCCCCUUAUGGCCGGGGCUACACACGUGCUACAAUGGCGUAAACAAAGGGAAGCGAGAGGGGGAUGUUAAGCAAAACUCAAAAAUAACGUCCCAGUUCGGAUUGUAGUCUGCAACCCGACUACAUGAAGCUGGAAUCGCUAGUAAUCGCGGAUCAGAAUGCCGCGGUGAAUACGUUCCCGGGUCUUGCACACACCGCCCGUCA